GGGGAUGUAACGGUUUCGACUGCGGUUUGAAGGUCGGUGAAGCUAUUCGCGUGAAGCUGCGUUAACACUUCAAAUUAAAUAUAAACGCUGAAGAUAAUUUAGCUUACGCUGCCUAGUGGCAGCUGCUUACCCUAACGUACUCAUCCGUUAGGAGUAGGUAUCGACUAGAUGAGAAACGAUGCAUACAAAGCUUUGAGUAUGUAGGCGUAUUAUGAAGCUACUGAAGUUAGUCGAGUGUUGGUUCUUGACUUAUAGAGGGAAUGUGCCUAGUGCGAAACAAAUCAACUAUAAUAGUAGAAGAACGAAGGGAUGGUCGUAGGACACGGGUUCAACUCCCGUCAUCUCCAUUG
rnacentral:tmRNA from 1 species